CAGUCGCCGCGGUAAUACGAAGGGGGCUAGCGUUGUUCGGAAUUACUGGGCGUAAAGCGCACGUAGGCGGACAUUUAAGUCAGGGGUGAAAUCCCGGGGCUCAACCCCGGAACUGCCUUUGAUACUGGGUGUCUAGAGUAUGGAAGAGGUGAGUGGAAUUCCGAGUGUAGAGGUGAAAUUCGUAGAUAUUCGGAGGAACACCAGUGGCGAAGGCGGCUCACUGGUCCAUUACUGACGCUGAGGUGCGAAAGCGUGGGGAGCAAACAGGAUUAGAUACCCGAGUAGUCCCUGUCUCUUAUAC
rnacentral:rRNA from 1 species